UGUCUUCAGGGCGGGGUGGAAGUCCCCACUGGCGGUACAGUCCGCGACCGGGCGCACAGGCGUCCGCCGAUCCGGUGCAACUCCGGGACCAACAGUUACAGUCUGGAUGGAAGAAGAUG
rnacentral:ncRNA from 1 species